rnacentral:rRNA from 1 species
UACGGGGGGGGCAAGCGUUGUUCGGAAUUACUGGGCGUAAAGGGCUCGUAGGCGGCCAACUAAGUCAGACGUGAAAUCCCUCGGCUUAACCGGGGAACUGCGUCUGAUACUGGAUGGCUUGAGGUUGGGAGAGGGAUGCGGAAUUCCAGGUGUAGCGGUGAAAUGCGUAGAUAUCUGGAGGAACACCGGUGGCGAAGGCGGCAUCCUGGACCAAUUCUGACGCUGAGGAGCGAAAGCCAGGGGGAGCAAAACGGGG